GAAAGAGAGUGUCACGAAGAAGGGAACUGCUGUCAUUAUUAGCUUGGAAUGGAAUUUGUAUUUUGACAAAAGAUGCAGACAUUUUAAGACCCGCUGAAGUACUCGAUUUGCACAGCGCCGGCAUAUAAUCAUCAAGUUUGAUGAAAUGUCCUAAUAUGUAGAUGUAGAUGCUAAGUCAUUCAGUCACCUAGCUUGUGAGAAUGGAAUGCUCACAAAAAGGACAAGAGCGAGAGAGCUGUAUGGAAAUUUACACAAAGGGUCAGUUAACGGAGUAAGCUGAUAUGGAGGAUAAUAUAUCAAAGGCAGCAUAGGCGUCCAAACUCCUGUUCAAGGUGCUUUUAAUCAGAAGCUUAAGAGACAAAAGACGAGCCAUUGACAAGGCAAAACUGAAUGUUUUAUAUGAAAUUGAGCAAGAAAAGUUUGAAGUGUCUUUGGGAAUGAUCAACAUCAAACUUGCUGAGCUUUUGAAGCCGUCGUACCAAAAGUGAAUCCAUUCGUGACACCAAUUAUCUGACCACCCUCUAACAGAACCAGUGAGGAAGUGAUUCUAGCCAAUACUUCAGAAGUUUAGGACCUUCAAUAAUUAGGAUCUUGGGGCAUGUUGGGGAAAAAAAUAGCAUGUGUUGAUUUUAUGGGAUCUUUCAAAUAUAGUUGUGUAGUAGAUAUUUGUGUACUUAAUACAUAUGUUUGUCACUCUAGUCAUUAACUUUGUAUGGUAAAUGUAUAUGGACCACUGGAAGAUCAUUGUAACU